UACGUAGGGUGCAAGCGUUGUCCGGAAUUAUUGGGCGUAAAGAGCUCGUAGGCGGUUCGUCGCGUCGGCUGUGAAAUCCCGGAGCUCAACUCCGGGUCUGCAGUCGAUACGGGCGGACUUGAGUUCGGCAGGGGAGACUGGAAUUCCUGGUGUAGCGGUGGAAUGCGCAGAUAUCAGGAGGAACACCGGUGGCGAAGGCGGGUCUCUGGGCAGUAACUGACGCUGAGGAGCGAAAGCGUGGGGAGCGAACAGG
rnacentral:rRNA from 1 species